UACGAAGGUCCCAAGCGUUAUCCGGAUUUAUUGGGUUUAAAGGGUGCGUAGGCGGGUUAUUAAGUCAGUGGUGAAAGCCUUCAGCUCAACUGAAGAAUUGCCAUUGAUACUGAUGAUCUUGAGUAUGAUUGAGGUGGGCGGAAUGUGUCAUGUAGCGGUGAAAUGCUUAGAUAUGACACAGAACACCGAUUGCGAAGGCAGCUCACUAAGUCAAUAACUGACGCUGAUGCACGAAAGCCGUGGGGAGCAAACAGG
rnacentral:rRNA from 1 species